rnacentral:rRNA from 1 species
UACAGAGGUCUCAAGCGUUGUUCGGAUUCAUUGGGCGUAAAGGGCGCGUAGGCGGCGGGGUAAGUCGGGUGUGAAAUCUCAGAGCUCAACUCUGAAACUGCACUCGAUACUGCUCUGCUUGAGGACUGGAGAGGAGACUGGAAUUCACGGUGUAGCAGUGAAAUGCGUAGAUAUCGUGAGGAAGACCAGUGGCGAAGGCGGGUCUCUGGGCCUUACCUGACGCUGAGGAGCGAAAGCGUGGGGAGCGAACAGG